rnacentral:rRNA from 1 species
UAAUGCAUCGGAACGUGUCCUGUUNUGGGGGAGUAACUGAUCGAAAGAUCAGCUAAUACCGCAUGAGACCUGAGGGUGAAAGCGGGGGAUCGCAAGACCUCGCGCGACAGGAGCGGCCGAUGUCUGAUUAGCUAGUUGGUGAGAUAAAAGCUUACCAAGGCGACGAUCAGUAGCUGGUCUGAGAGGAAGGUCCCCCACAUUGGAACUGAGACACGGUCCAAACUCCUACGGGAGGCAGCAUG